rnacentral:rRNA from 1 species
AUUGAACACUGGCGGCAGGCUUAACACAUGCAAGUCGAGCGGGGAAAGGUAGCUUGCUACUGGACCUAGCGGCGGACGGGUGAGUAAUGCUUAGGAAUCUGCCUAUUAGUGGGGGACAACAUCUCGAAAGGGAUGCUAAUACCGCAUACGUCCUACGGGAGAAAGCAGGGGAUCUUCGGACCUUGCGCUAAUAGAUGAGCCUAAGUCGGAUUAGCUAGUUGGUGGGGUAAAGGCCUACCAAGGCGACGAUCUGUAGCGGGUCUGAGAGGAUGAUCCGCCACACUGGGACUGAGACACGGCCCAGACUCCUACGGGAGGCAGCAGUGGGGAAUAUUGGACAAUGGGCGCAAGCCUGAUCCAGCCAUGCCGCGUGUGUGAAGAAGGCCUUAUGGUUGUAAAGCACUUUAAGCGAGGAGGAGGCUACUCUAGUUAAUACCUAGGGAUAGUGGACGUUACUCGCAGAAUAAGCACCGGCUAACUCUGUGCCAGCCGCCGCGGUAAAAC